CAAACAGGGACUGAUUCUACAGUACCCAUAGUUAGGAGUGAUUGGACUAGGAGAUUUUAUGGGGAUGGCAAUGGGGGUGUAUGUGUGUGUGUGUGUGUGUGUGUGUGUGUGUGUGUGUGUAUAUAUGUGUGCAUCUCCUGUUCCUUUGACACUAUUCCAUGUGGACCUUGAUAGGAUUGUGUGUGUGUGUGUAUAUAUAUAUUUCUUUUAAAAAUGUUAGUAACAAAAUUGUAGCUUAUAUUUCAUCUGUGCUUCAAUUAAAAGAUUCAUUCUAUGCGUCUGUCAUUCCUUCAUUAACUGAAGUAUUGCAACGUACACCUGCACACCCUCUGAAAGAGGGUUCUUCUUGAAAUAAGAUGAUUGCGCUCAAUGCAAGUGUUCUGUCCUGAGUGUUCCCCAUGCAAAUUGAAGCAGCAAGCCUUGUGAGAAGGGAGAUAGAGGAAGACGAUGAAGAGCACUGCUCUGCUGUGAUAUCCACUAAAGGAGGUGAAACCCCGCUGCAGCUGCCAUGCCAACACUUAAACUUUGUGUACUGCAAGCCACCAUCACGUCAGAGAAGAUGCACCAGGCACAAGACCAUGAGGACAUCGGAUCCAAAGAGAGUAAGCUGGGAGUAUAAAGCAGAAUGGAACCAAAUUCAUCCACUGCAGUUGACGGUUACACUAGGGUCUGAAUUUGGCCCAGUGCAUUUAACCACCUUCACCAUGUUCCUGUGA
rnacentral:lncRNA from 1 species